GGGAUCCGAUUUUAGCAUGGAAUAAUAAAAUAGGACGUGUGGUUCUAUUUUGUUGGUUUCUAGGACCUUAGUAAUGAUUGAUAGGGAUAGUUGGGGGUGCUAGUAUUCAGCGGCCAGAGGUGAAAUUCUUGGAUUCGCUGAAGACUAACUACUGCGAAAGCAUUCACCAAGGAUGUCUUCUUUAAUCAAGAACGAAAGUUGGGGGAUCGAAGACGAUCAGAUACCGUCGUAGUCUCAACCAUAAACUAUACCGACUAAGGAUCAGCGGGCGUCUCUUUUUGACCCCGUUGGCACUUUAUGAGAAAUCAAAGUCUUUGGGUUCCGGGGGGAGUAUGGUCGCAAGGCUGAAACUUAAAGGAAUUGACGGAAGGGCACCACCAGGAGUGGAGCCCGCGGCUUAAUUUGACUCAACACGGGAAACUCACCAGGUCCAGAAAUCUAGA
rnacentral:rRNA from 1 species